rnacentral:rRNA from 1 species
GAGUUUGAUCCUGGCUCAGAACGAACGCUGGCGGCGUGCUUAAUACAUGCAAGUCGUGCGAGAAAGUGGUAGCAAUACCAUGAGUACAGCGGCAAACGGGUGAGUAACACGUAAGGAACUUUCCUCGAAGUCUGGAACAACACUGCCAACGCGGUGCUAAUACCGGAUGUGAUCACUGGAGCGCAUGCUUCGGUGUUUAAAGGUGACCUCUCCAUGGAAGCUACCGUUUCGAGAUGGCCUUGCGCCCCAUUAGCUAGUUGGCGGGGUGACAGCCCACUAAGGCUUUGAUGGGUAGCCGGUCUGAGAGGGCGAUCGGCCACAUUGGGACUGAGACACGGCCCAGACUCCUACGGGAGGCAGCAGUAGGGAAUUUUGCGCAAUGGACGAAAGUCUGACGCAGCAACGCCGCGUGAGGGAUGAAGGUCUUCGGAUUGUAAACCUCUGUUGAUUGGGAAGAAUAACGUCGCGGACAAUAGCCGCGAGGGAUGACGGUACCAGUCGAGGAAGCCCCGGCUAACUACGUGCCAGCAGCCGCGGUAAUACGUAGGGGGCAAGCGUUGUUCGGAAUUACUGGGCGUAAAGGGAGCGUAGGCGGAUUGGCAAGUUAGGAGUGAAAUCCACAGGCUUAACCUGUGGUUUGCUUUUAAAACUGCUUUUCUUGAG